UACGGAGGGUGCGAGCGUUGUCCGGAAUCACUGGGCGUAAAGGGCGCGUAGGUGGCCCGUUAAGUGGCUGGUGAAAUCCCGCGGCUCAACUGCGGGGCUGCCGGUCAUACUGGCGAGCUAGAGCACGGUAGGGGCAGAUGGAAUUCCCGGUGUAGCGGUGGAAUGCGUAGAGAUCGGGAAGAAUACCAGUGGCGAAGGCGUUCUGCUGGGCCGUUGCUGACACUGAGGCGCGACAGCGUGGGAGCAACAGG
rnacentral:rRNA from 1 species